rnacentral:rRNA from 1 species
AUUGAACGCUGGCGGCAUGCCUAACACAUGCAAGUCGAACGGCAGCACGGCAGUAGCAAUACUGUGGGUGGCGAGUGGCGGACGGGUGAGGAAUACGUCGGAAUCUGCCCAGUCGUGGGGGAUAACUAGCCGAAAGGUUAGCUAAUACCGCAUACGACCGAGAGGUGAAAGCGGGGGACCGGCAAGGCCUCGCGCGAUUGGAUGAGCCGACGUCGGAUUAGCUAGUUGGUGGGGUAAAGGCCCACCAAGGCGACGAUCCGUAGCUGGUCUGAGAGGAUGAUCAGCCACACUGGAACUGAGACACGGUCCAGACUCCUACGGGAGGCAGCAGUGGGGAAUAUUGGACAAUGGGCGCAAGCCUGAUCCAGCAAUGCCGCGUGUGUGAAGAAGGCCUCGG